rnacentral:rRNA from 1 species
UUGAUCCUGCCAGUAGUCAUACGCUCGUCUCAAAGAUUAAGCCAUGCAUGUGUAAGUAUAAAUAAUUCUACUUUGAAACUGCGAAUGGCUCAUUAUAUCAGUUAUAGUUUAUUAGAAAUAAUUUACUACUUGGAUAACCGUAGUAAUUCUAGGGCUAAUACAUGAGUAAAUCCUCGACUUUGAAGAGGUGUGUUUAUUAGUAUGAAAACCAUAUGCUUUUGCAUAAUAGUGAGUAAUAAUAACCUUUCAUAUCGUAUGUUGUAAUAACGAUAGUUCUUUCAAGUUUCUGCCCUAUCAGCUUUCGAUGGUAGUGCAUUGGACUACCAUGGCAGUAACGGGUAACGAAGAAUUUGGGUUCGAUUUCGGAGAGGGAGCCUGAGAGAUGGCUACCACAUCCAAGGAAGGCAGCAGGCGCGUAAAUUACCCAAUCCUGACAUAGGGAGGUAGUGACAAUAAAUCACAAUGCGGGACUUUUAGUUUUGCAAUUGGAUUGAGAACAAUGUAAAAGAGUUAUCGAUAAACAAUUGGAGGGCAAGUCUGGUGCCAGCAGCCGCGGUAAUUCCAGCUCCAAUAGCGUAUAUUAACGUUGUUGCAGU